rnacentral:rRNA from 1 species
UACGUAGGGGCAAGCGUUAUCCGGAAUCAUUGGGCGUAAAGCGCGUGUAGGCGGUUCUGUAAGUCCGCUCUGAAAGCCCAGGCUCAACCCUGGGAGGCGGGUGGAUACUACAGAACUGGAGUACGGAAGAGGAGAUUGGAAUUCCUGGUGUAGCGGUGAAAUGCGCAGAUAUCAGGAGGAACACCAACAGCGAAGGCAGAUCUCUGGGACGUUACUGACGCUGAGACGCGAAAGCGUGGGAGCAAACAGG